UGUGUGGGAAGGAUUUGUUGAUAGAAAUCCAAAAGGAUAGCUAAUGAGGCUGGCCAGAGGCCCCUCUCAUCUCUGUCUGGAAACUUCCAACUCCCAGGAGCCCCUUUCCUUCCAGGAUUAGGAUUUCAUUAAACACCAAGGAAGUAAAACACUUUUCAAUCAUCUGCAAGAUUUGAAUUCUUAAAGGGCUGCAUCAGUGGUUCUCAAAAUGUGAGUAGCAUCAGCAAGACCCGGGAGCUUGUGAGAAAUGCAGAGGCAGCAAGGACUAGAAAGCAUCUCUCCUUCAGCCAUACCCUUGGUCUGCAGUGUCCAGUCGAAAAUGAAAGGGAAAUGUUUUGGAUUGAUUCAGGAUGUCAAAGCAGCCAGGGCAGCUCAACAAAAGAGGACUUCCCAAACUGCUUUGGAGAGUGGAAAGAAUGAUUAGGGUUGGCAUCCUCCACUGGCCUCUUUGUAUGGCGCCCAGGAGCUCAGAGACCUGUUGUAAAGGCAUAAUCACAUCCAGGACCAAGACUGUAGACCCAGAGUCUGAGAACUGGUCUUCACACUCCCACUUCUACCUCUGCCUUAUAAGAUUGGGACAUUCACAUCUGGUAUUGGCCAUUUCAGUGUUCUCCAGUGACAAGGCCAAUCAGGGACCACAUGAUGUCUCCCUCGGUGUUCCUGUCUACUUUUGCUGACAAACAAACUCCUCUUUUCUCCCACUUGCCACGUGGGGUUGUCAGUGUUCCUUGAAAGAGUUCACAAUCUCUUGCCUCCAUCCAAGAAAAACAGUGCAGUUUGUUUAAGGUCAUGAAAAAAAAUCUUGCCCUUCCAAACUAUGGGGUUCUCUAGAGCCAUUCUUUUCCCUGGACAUUUAUUCAUUUAAAAACAUCAAGAUCGGAUUCUGGAACAUUCACCAUGCUGGGUGCUAGGCAGACUGAAAUGCAAAGACUGAUGUGAAGUUUGGACUGGACACUUAACAUGCCUGGUUCCACCAUUAGGAGCCACAACCAUGGUCCCCAAGAUGGGUAGAGAGCCACUGGCAUUGCUAGCUGUUCCUCCACACCAAAUCAGGCCUCCUGCUGGCAUGCGGCCAUGAUACACCAAGGGUGCACACACUCACUGUAUCUUCUCUACAGGGAAUUUUUGUCUUCAACAUCAGCUCCAUGCCCUCUUUUUACUUUAAGCAUUUUUAGUGUAUAUACAUACCAAAUGAGUAAAAUCUCUCUCUCUCUCUCUCUCUCUCUCUCUCUCUCUCUCUCUCUCUCCAUAUAUAUAUAUUAAAGUCUGUAGAGGUAAAGUGAUGUUACACCUGGAGAUGGCUUUAUCCCAUCCACUCCCACAUCUGAUUACGAGGUGAACAUAAGUGAAAGAAAAAUA
rnacentral:lncRNA from 1 species